GACGAACGCUGGCGGCGUGCCUAAUACAUGCAAGUCGAGCGCAGGAAACUGACGGAACUCUUCGGAGGGAAGGCAGUGGAAUGAGCGGCGGACGGGUGAGUAACACGUAAGGAACCUGCCUCAAGGGUUGGGAUAACUCCGAGAAAUCGGAGCUAAUACCGGAUAGUUCAACGGACCGCAUGGUCCGCUGAUGAAAGGCGCUCCGGCGUCACCUUGAGAUGGCCUUGCGGUGCAUUAGCUAGUUGGUGGGGUAACGGCUCACCAAGGCGACGAUGCAUAGCCGACCUGAGAGGGUGAUCGGCCACACUGGGACUGAGACACGGCCCAGACUCCUACGGGAGGCAGCAGUAGGGAAUCUUCCACAAUGGACGAAAGUCUGAUGGAGCAACGCCGCGUGAGUGAUGAAGGUUUUCGGAUCGUAAAACUCUGUUGUAAGGGAAGAACACGUACGAGAGGAAAUGCUCGUACCUUGACGGUACCUUACGAGAAAGCCACGGCUAACUACGUGCCAGCAGCCGCAGUAAAAC
rnacentral:rRNA from 1 species